CAGUCGCCACGGUAAUACAGAGGGUGCGAGCGUUAAUCGGAUUUACUGGGCGUAAAGCGUGCGUAGGCGGCUUCUUAAGUCGGAUGUGAAAUCCCUGAGCUUAACUUAGGAAUUGCAUUCGAUACUGGGAAGCUAGAGUAUGGGAGAGGAUGGUAGAAUUCCAGGUGUAGCGGUGAAAUGCGUAGAGAUCUGGAGGAAUACCAAUGGCGAAGGCAGCCAUCUGGCCUAAUACUGACGCUGAGGUACGAAAGCAUGGGGAGCAAACAGGAUUAGAUACCCCCGUAGUCCCUGUCUCUUAUAC
rnacentral:rRNA from 1 species